GAUCAUGGCUCAGGAUGAACGCUAGCGGCAGGCCUAACACAUGCAAGGUCGCGGGGCAGCACGGGUAGCAAUACCUGGUGGCGACCGGCGCACGGGUGCGUAACGCGUAUGCAACCUGCCCCCAUCAGGGGAAUAGCCCGCCGAAAGGCGGAUUAAUGCCCCAUAGGCCCAGGGCGCCGCAUGGCGCUAUGGGUAAAGCUCCGGCGGAUGGGGAUGGGCAUGCGUGCCAUUAGCUAGUUGGGGCGGUAACGGCGCACCAAGGCGACGAUGGCUAGGGGGUCUGAGAGGAUGGUCCCCCACACUGGUACUGAGACACGGACCAGACUCCUACGGGAGGCAGCAGUGAGGAAUAUUGGUCAAUGGGCGGAAGCCUGAACCAAGCCAUGCCGCGUGCAGGAUGACGGCCCUACGGGUUGUAAACUUCUUUGAUCAGGGAAGAAACAAAUGACGGUACCUGAAAAACAAGCCACGGCUAACUACGUGCCAGCCGCAGC
rnacentral:rRNA from 1 species